rnacentral:rRNA from 1 species
GAUGAACGCUGGCGGCGUGCCUAAUACAUGCAAGUCGAGCGAACAGAUGCGGAGCUUGCGCCUCGCACGUUAGCCGCGCACGGGAGAGUAACACGUGGAUAAUCUACCUAUAUGACGGGGAUAUCUUCGGGACGCCGGCGCUAAUCCCGGAUAAUCUCUUGCUCCGCAUGGUUCAAUAGUGAAAGUCGGUGUUGCUGUCACUUAUAGAUGGAUCCGCGCCGCAUGGGCUAGUUGGUAAGGUAACGGCUUACCAAGGCAAGGAUGCGUAGCCGACCUGUGAGGGUGAUCGGCCACACGGGAACUGAGACACGGUCCAGACGCCUACGGGAGGCAGCAGUAGGGAAUCGUCCGCAAUGGGCGGAAGCCUGACGGAGCAACGGCGCGUGAGUGAUGACGGUCUUCGGAUCGUAAAACUCUGUUAUUAGGGAAGAACAAAUGUGGAAGUAACUAUGCACGGCUUGACGGUACCUAAUCAGAAAGCCACGGCUAACUACGUG